rnacentral:rRNA from 1 species
AGUGAACGCUGGCGGUAGGCCUAACACAUGCAAGUCGAACGGCAGCGCAGUAAGAGCUUGCUCUUACGGGUGGCGAGUGGCGGACGGGUGAGGAAUACAUCGGAAUCUACUUUUUCGUGGGGGAUAACGUAGGGAAACUUACGCUAAUACCGCAUACGACCUACGGGUGAAAGCAGGGGAUCUUCGGACCUUGCGCGAUUGAAUGAGCCGAUGUCGGAUUAGCUAGUUGGCGGGGUAAAGGCCCACCAAGGCGACGAUCCGUAGCUGGUCUGAGAGGAUGAUCAGCCACACUGGAACUGAGACACGGUCCAGACUCCUACGGGAGGCAGCAGUGGGGAAUAUUGGACAAUGGGCGCAAGCCUGAUCCAGCCAUACCGCGUGGGUGAAGAAGGCCUUCGGGUUGUAAAACCCUUUUGUUGGGAAAGAAAAGCAGCAGGUUAAUACCCCGCUGUUCUGACGGUACCCAAAGAAUAAGCACCGGCUAACUUCGUG